rnacentral:rRNA from 1 species
AAAUUGAAGAGUUUGAUCAUGGCUCAGAUUGAACGCUGGCGGCAGGCCUAACACAUGCAAGUCGAGCGGUAGCACAGAGAGCUUGCUCUCGGGUGACGAGCGGCGGACGGGUGAGUAAUGUCUGGGAAACUGCCUGAUGGAGGGGGAUAACUACUGGAAACGGUGGCUAAUACCGCAUAAUGUCGCAAGACCAAAGUGGGGGACCUUCGGGCCUCAUGCCAUCAGAUGUGCCCAGAUGGGAUUAGCUAGUAGGUGGGGUAACGGCUCACCUAGGCGACGAUCCCUAGCUGGUCUGAGAGGAUGACCAGCCACACUGGAACUGAGACACGGUCCAGACUCCUACGGGAGGCAGCAGUGGGGAAUAUUGCACAAUGGGCGCAAGCCUGAUGCAGCCAUGCCGCGUGUGUGAAGAAGGCCUUCGGGUUGUAAAGCACUUUCAGCGGGGAGGAAGGCGUUAAGGUUAAUAACCUUGGCGAUUGACGUUACCCGCAGAAGAAGCACCGGCUAACUCCGUGCCAGCAGCCGCGGUAAUACGGAGGGUGCAAGCGUUAAUCGGAAUUACUGGGCGUAAAGCGCACGCAGGCGGUCUGUCAAGUCGGAUGUGAAAUCCCCGGGCUCAACCUGGGAACUGCAUUCGAAACUGGCAGGCUAGAGUCUUGUAGAGGGGGGUAGAAUUCCAGGUGUAGCGGUGAAAUGCGUAGAGAUCUGGAGGAAUACCGGUGGCGAAGGCGGCCCCCUGGACAAAGACUGACGCUCAGGUGCGAAAGCGUGGGGAGCAAACAGGAUUAGAUACCCUGGUAGUCCACGCCGUAAACGAUGUCGAUUUGGAGGUUGUGCCCUUGAGGCGUGGCUUCCGGAGCUAACGCGUUAAAUCGACCGCCUGGGGAGUACGGCCGCAAGGUUAAAACUCAAAUGAAUUGACGGGGGCCCGCACAAGCGGUGGAGCAUGUGGUUUAAUUCGAUGCAACGCGAAGAACCUUACCUGGUCUUGACAUCCACAGAACUUUCCAGAGAUGGAUUGGUGCCUUCGGGAACUGUGAGACAGGUGCUGCAUGGCUGUCGUCAGCUCGUGUUGUGAAAUGUUGGGUUAAGUCCCGCAACGAGCGCAACCCUUAUCCUUUGUUGCCAGCGGUCCGGCCGGGAACUCAAAGGAGACUGCCAGUGAUAAACUGGAGGAAGGUGGGGAUGACGUCAAGUCAUCAUGGCCCUUACGACCAGGGCUACACACGUGCUACAAUGGCAUAUACAAAGAGAAGCGACCUCGCGAGAGCAAGCGGACCUCAUAAAGUAUGUCGUAGUCCGGAUUGGAGUCUGCAACUCGACUCCAUGAAGUCGGAAUCGCUAGUAAUCGUAGAUCAGAAUGCUACGGUGAAUACGUUCCCGGGCCUUGUACACACCGCCCGUCACACCAUGGGAGUGGGUUGCAAAAGAAGUAGGUAGCUUAACCUUCGGGAGGGCGCUUACCACUUUGUGAUUCAUGACUGGGGUGAAGUCGUAACAAGGUAACCGUAGGGGAACCUGCGGUUGGAUCACCUCCUUA